AGCAGCCGCGGUAAUUCCAGCUCCAAUAGCGUAUAUUAAAGUUGUUGCAGUUAAAAAGCUCGUAGUUGAAUUUCGGGGUUAGUAGGCUGGUCGUGCCACCGGUACGUACUGGUCUUACUGAUUCCUCCUUCCUGAUGAACUGUAAUGCCAUUAAUUUGGUGUUGCAGGGAAUCUGGACUGUUACUUUGAAAAAAUUGAGUGUUUAAAGCAGGCUAACGCUUGAAUACAUUAGCAUGGAAUAAUGAAAUAGGACGUUCGAUCCUGUUUUGUUGGUUUCUAGGAUUUGACGUAAUGAUUAAUAGGGAUAGUUGGGGGCAUUAGUAUUCAAAUUGUCAGAGGUGAAAUUCUUGGAUUUAUUGAAGACUAACUACUGCGAAAGCAUUUGCCAAGGAUGUUUUCAUUAAUCAAGAACGAAAGUUAGGGAUCGAAGACGAUCAGAUACCGUCGUAGUCUUAACCAUAAACUAUAGCCGACUAGGGAUCGGAUGAUGUUAAUUUUUUAAUGUACUUCAUUCGGCGUC
rnacentral:rRNA from 1 species